rnacentral:rRNA from 1 species
UACGAAGGGUGCAAGCGUUACUCGGAAUUACUGGGCGUAAAGAGCUCGUAGGCGGCUCGUCGCGUCGACCGUGAAAACCCGCGGCUUAACCGGGGAACUGCAUCUGAUACUGGAUGGCUUGAAUCCGGGAGAGGGAUGCGGAAUUCCAGGUGUAGCGGUGAAAUGCGUAGAUAUCUGGAGGAACACCGGUGGCGAAGGCGGCAUCCUGGACCGGCAUUGACGCUGAGGAGCGAAAGCCAGGGGAGCAAACGGG